CUAUUCAAAAUUCUCUCUUCAUGUGAUAAAGAGCAGAACGUGCUGAGUUCUGGGUCUUAGCAUUGGAAUACAUUUCUAGUCACUAUUCUCUUCUACUGCUGCACCAAUUAUUCACUUUAUUCACCCAGAUCUUUAAAACGAUGUAAGUGACAAAUGACUUGAUCCACAAACUUGCAGUAGUUGCCAGGAGAUUAGGCACACAAUACCAACACAAUUUAGUAAUAUAAUACAUUGAUGAGAAAUAUGAACAAGCACAAUAAAAGUAAAUGUUAGAAGCAUCCUUUUUUUAGGUAAAUUAGAUGUGUACUCUAGUAUCGAACUGCAAUAGGUAUUUACUGACUCAUGAUAUGUUUCAAAGAUAAUAGUAUCAGAACAUGUAUAUAUUCAGGUGUGAGAGCAGAGGCCACAGAUUUCUCCACUACCCUCUCCCUUUUCACUACCUAGCAACACUGAGCUGCAUGGAGUAUAUGUAAUGGAUAAGGUGAUUGGAAAUUGAAAAACAUGGCCUAAGGCAAUGUUUGUUCAAUUAUCCUAUCCUUUGUGAUCUACCAAAUAGCUGGGAAUUAGUAAAGAAGGUGAAGAGAGGAGCUCGAGGAAUUGGGGAAGAAGCCUUAUUUCCCUCUCCCUAUUUUUUGAGUUAUCCAACUAAAUGUGGUUCAGAAAAUGAGCCACUACAUCUGCAUGUACCAUCACACAAUGCUUCUACAAUGCCCCGGUUGUUAGAUAUGAAAACCAAGGGCUAUUAUUUAUUAUUUUCACCGUAUGUUAUAUUGACAUUUUUACUGUUCAUUAAACUUAAAUAAUUUCCAUUGAAUUUUACAGGAACAAAGUCCAGCUAUUGGGCUUGUGUGGGCAAAUUUAUAGCUGUUGAAACAACAAAUUAUAGUUUCAAAGUGAGACAUCUAUUUAUUUGGAUCUCCGUGUCUUGAUCUAAACAGGUAUAGGGCCCCUACAUGCAUCAAAUCAAAGUCGUCACAUGAAAACAAACAUGUAUUUACGCUAUAGACUGGGGAUCUCCAUCUACUUUUGCAUGGUCUAUUGGUCUUUGCUUAUGAUGAGCAUGACAUGGUUUAAUGUUGCUUUCAAUUUUUAUUCCAUUUUGACAAUGGUGGCAUUGUGUUAGUUUUGAAUUAUUUUAGUAAGAAACAGAUUACAAA